rnacentral:lncRNA from 1 species
CUUCACGAUUUACCAUCCCAAUUUCUGUACUUGAAAACUUUGUAGGGUACCAAGUUUCCAUCUUACUUUCCUGCCACCAAGUCCAAACCAUGUAGCUGCCCACAAAGUGCCUCUAUCUGUGUGCUGGGGACAACUCAUACUAGCUGUCAGAAUUGAUGGCUAAAUUUUUAACAUGAUCAUUUACAUUUCAGAAAUGGCAAAUUGUGGAAAAUUUCACAAUGUUUUGGGUCAGAAAGCUCUGAAAAAUAAAGAUUACAUAUCAUUGGUAGGACAACAGAGAGAUUCAG